rnacentral:rRNA from 1 species
CCCUUAGAUGUUCUGGGCUGCACGCGCGCUACACUGAAGCUAUCAACACGUUUUCCCUCCCUGAGAAGGGCGGGUAACCUUUUGAAUCAGCUUCGUGGUAGGGAUCGGGGCUUGCAAUUGUUCCCCGUGAACCAGGAAUUCCUAGUAGACGCGAGUCAUAAGCUCGCAUCGAUUAAGUCCCUGCCUUUUGUACACACCGCCCGUCGCUACUACCGAUUGAACGUUUUAGUGAGGCAUUUGGACCGACGCAUCUCAGUUUAACCGCUGGUUUGUGUUGGAAAGACUUCCAAACUUGAGCGUUUAGAGGAAGUAAAAGUCGUAACA